rnacentral:lncRNA from 1 species
CUCUUUGUUAUCUGCCUUUCGUUGGCUGCACAUAGCUUGAAUGUCCCUGUUGGGUGAUGUGCUCACAUGCAUGUUUAUAUGUGUUGGUAUCUGUGUGUUGCCUUUGUUUUUGUUUAGCUGGCUGAGGUGACUGCAUUGUGUAUACCUGUAUGGGAUGGAUUGCAUUCAUUUGUGAGUCUGCACCCUAUAUGAUUUCUCUAAAUCCCCUGGCUGCAUGCUGUGUCUGUGUGGGGUAUGUUGCAUUUGUUGUUUGUAGGUACAACUGCAUAUUCUGUGUGUUCCCCUGUGUCUCUGCCUCUGUGAAAUGUGUCUGUGUGUUUUCCCUGCCAGCUCCUCCUCCCCUUCGGGUGCCCCAGCCUCUCUCCCUGCCUUCUCCUCCCCAGGCUGUGACCACUCUCAGCUGACACCUCCGCUGCUCUGGCAACCCAAGAACAGCCUGGAGAAAGGUCAGCUGGCCGCCUUCCCCAGGGCCUGCCUGGAUCCUUGGACCCCAGUGUUGCGUGGUGUGGGAGCGCCCUCUGUUGGCUGUAUGGGCCAUGAACACCACUGGAAACAGACUUCCUCUUUCCCUUGCUGCUCACCCCUGAGACUUCCAGCCUUCUUAAUAAGGGACUUUAGGAGAGGAAUGGGUAGGGUCGCCUAUAAUUUGCCGUUGAAAGCGAGAUGUUUUGGAGAAUGAAAGAGGGUGUGAAUAAGUGCACUGAGAUACUGAGUAUUCGGCAGAUGCGUCUUAAGCAGAUGGUGAGGAAGGCUUCCCUGACCGCCUACUUGGGUCUCAGCCCCAUGGGCAUAAGCCAACAAAAUGUGUGCUAGCCCUCACUGGUGAAAGGGUCAGCUAUUCCCAAUUUAUGUUUGAGGAAGUCAGAAUCUCAAAUCUAUGCUUACCCAAUGACUUCACGCUUUCCCUUGGGAAUAAUUUCCCAAGACCCCAAUUUCCCCUUUGCAGCAGGGACCCAAGGUGGAGACCCAAGGGUUCCAGUUCCAGAAAGAGGGAGGACUGAAAUGUUUCUAGGGGAUUUAACAGAAAGAGGUCAAAGGCACUCUUGUGAGAAGAAAGGGAAUAGUUAUAGAGGUACCCAGGACUUGUAAUGCCCCAGGUGCGUGACUCUGACAGCCUCAAGAGGAAGAGAAAGGUGCUGUGUGCACACAUGUGGGUACAUGCGUGCACACAUGUGGGUACAUGCACACACACACACACACACACAUAUAUACACACACACACAUCAGGAGGCAGAACAUCCAACAGCCUGCAUGGCUAAUAUCGUGGGGUUUGAGAAUAUACACAUUUACUAUUUCCUGCGUUAUAGAAGAAACACAACCAAAGGCACCAUUUUAUGCAAAAACAUGAGUUUUCAUUGCAUUCCUUGUGCUGGUGAUUAAAGAAGAGGCUCUGAUAAGCAAUGGCUAUUCUUUAACUCAGGAUGACAGCUCCAGGUGAACCAAAAGACCACUUGGCCCAAUUGGUCGAAAGUGUGUUCUUCAGAACAUUACCUCCCAUGAGACAUUAAUAGUUAUUUGAAGGUGUGGCCAAAUAAAUUUGAAAAAUACAGGAUUAAAUAAAGUUAAACAGAUUUUUUUUCUCAUGGGAUAUCUCAGAGCCUUUAAUAUGAUAAUGUCUUAUGAAUUUCUAAGAAAGGAGGAGACUGUACUCAGCAUUUCACAAAAGAUAUGAAUAAUGGAUUUUUUUUCCAGAAUGUUAUGGGACAAAAUUCUAAAUUUACACAUGGGCAAAGCAAGACCCCAAGUAGCAUAAUUCAGUUAUUAUUAAAUAACUAUUUACUACAAGAAUCAUGUUUUUUGUUUGUUUGCUUUUGCUUUUGUGUGUUUGUUUUAGUUAAUCUCUUUGGAUCUUGUACUAACCUACACAGGUAGGUACUAUGUUAUCAUGUUAAAUGACAGAUGAGAAGAGAGACUCAGAGAAGUGAAGUGGUUUGUCCCAAGUUAUGGCAUUGGUCAGUGACAGCAACACUCAAUACCAGGCACCUCUCUAUAAACCAUAUACAACUUCCACUUUGCCAACUCCUGGAAUUCAUCCUAUAUCCAGGAGGCCGGUGUGGAGCAGUGGCCAGAUGCAGCUGUGGACAAUGAAAAGAGGAAGGAGGACUGAUCAGUCCCCUAAGAAGCAGUUACUAAUAUGUCAGGCACUGACUAGGCAUACGACCUGGUGUUUCACAUAUCUCUCAUGACAACCUUGUGAAUGGGGAUUAAUAUCCCUAUUAUACAUGCAAGAAAACUGGGGCUCAGGGAUAUUGAGUUAUUUGACCUAAUUACAAAUCUGAUGAGGAAACUGAGGCUCAGACUAAUUCAUCCAAAGUCACGCACAGUUGGUGAUGGGGCUAGGAUCUGAAAUCAGAAUCCAAGUGCAGAACUACAGUGACUUUCAAAGAACUAACUCAGAGGCCAGUAAAAUGGGAAGACACAAGAAUACAUGUUAUAGGCCAGGCACGGUGGCUCAUGCCUGUAACCUCAGCAUUUUGGGUAGUCAAGGUGACUGAAUUGCUUGAGCUCAAGAGUUGCAGACCAGCCUGGGAAACAUGGAAAAACCCCAUCUCUAUAAAACAAAA